ACGUAGGGCGCGAGCGUUGUCCGGAAUUAUUGGGCGUAAAGGGCUUGUAGGCGGUUGGUCGAGUCUGCCGUGAAAUCUUCUGGCUCAGCUGGGGGAGUGCGGUGGAUACGGGGUGGCUUGAGUGCCGGAGGGGAGGCUGGAACUCCAGGUGUAGGGGUGAAAUGCGCAGAUAUCAGGAGGAACACCGGUGGCGAAGGCGGCUCUCUGGACCGCUACUGACGCUGAGGUGCGAAAGCGUGGGGAUCGAACAG
rnacentral:rRNA from 1 species